UACGUAGGGUGCGAGCGUUAAUCGGAAUUACUGGGCGUAAAGCGUGCGCAGGCGGUUUUGUUAGCCAGAUGUGAAAUCCCCGGGCUUAACCUGGGAACUGCAUUUGGGACUGCAAGGCUUGAGUACGGCAGAGGGGGGUAGAAUUCCUGGUGUAGCAGUGAAAUGCGUAGAUGUCAGGAGGAAUACCGAUGGCGAAGGCAGCCCCCUGGGUCGAUACUGACGCUCAUGCACGAAAGCGUGGGGAGCAAACAGG
rnacentral:rRNA from 1 species